rnacentral:rRNA from 1 species
GACGAACGCUGGCGGCGUGCUUAACACAUGCAAGUCGAACGGAAAGGCCCUGCUUUUGUGGGGUGCUCGAGUGGCGAACGGGUGAGUAACACGUGAGUAACCUGCCCUUGACUUUGGGAUAACUUCAGGAAACUGGGGCUAAUACUGGAUAGGAGCUCCUGCUGCAUGGUGGGGGUUGGAAAGUUUCGGCGGUUGGGGAUGGACUCGCGGCUUAUCAGCUUGUUGGUGGGGUAGUGGCUUACCAAGGCUUUGACGGGUAGCCGGCCUGAGAGGGUGACCGGCCACAUUGGGACUGAGAUACGGCCCAGACUCCUACGGGAGGCAGCAGUGGGGAAUAUUGCACAAUGGGCGGAAGCCUGAUGCAGCAACGCCGCGUGCGGGAUGACGGCCUUCGGGUUGUAAACCGCUUUCGCCUGUGACGAAGCGUGAGUGACGGUAAUGGGUAAAGAAGCACCGGCUAACUACGUGCCAGCAGCCGCGGUGAUACGUAGGGUGCGAGCGUUGUCCGGAUUUAUUGGGCGUAAAGGGCUCGUAGGUGGUUGAUCGCGUCGGAAGUGUAAUCUUGGGGCUUAACCCUGAGCGUGCUUUCGAUACGGGUUGACUUGAGGAAGGUAGGGGAGAAUGGAAUUCCUGGUGGAGCGGUGGAAUGCGCAGAUAUUAGGAGGAACACCAGUGGCGAAGGCGGUUCUCUGGGCCUUUCCUGACGCUGAGGAGCGAAAGCGUGGGGAGCGAACAGGCUUAGAUACCCUGGUAGUCCACGCUGUAAACGGUGGGUACUAGGUGUGGGGUCCAUUCCACGGGUUCCGUGCCGUAGCUAACGCUUUAAGUACCCCGCCUGGGGAGUACGGCCGCAAGGCUAAAACUCAAAGGAAUUGACGGGGCCCCGCACAAGCGGCGGAGCAUGCGGAUUAAUUCGAUGCAACGCGUAGAACCUUACCUGGGUUUGACAUGGAUCGGGAGCGCUCAGAGAUGGGUGUGCCUCUUUUGGGGUCGGUUCACAGGUGGUGCAUGGCUGUCGUCAGCUCGUGUCGUGAGAUGUUGGGUUAAGUCCCGCAACGAGCGCAACCCUUGUUCACUGUUGCCAGCACGUUAUGGUGGGGACUCAGUGGAGACCGCCGGGGUCAACUCGGAGGAAGGUGGGGAUGACGUCAAGUCAUCAUGCCCCUUAUGUCCAGGGCUUCACGCAUGCUACAAUGGCUGGUACAGAGAGUGGCGAGCCUGUGAGGGUGAGCGAAUCUCGGAAAGCCGGUCUCAGUUCGGAUUGGGGUCUGCAACUCGACCUCAUGAAGUCGGAGUCGCUAGUAAUCGCAGAUCAGCAACGCUGCGGUGAAUACGUUCCCGGGGCU